GCGGACGUGGCGGAAUCGGUAGACGCGCCGUCUUGAGGGGGCGGUGGGGCAACCCGUGAGAGUUCGAGUCUCUCCGUCCGCA
rnacentral:tRNA from 2 species